UUACGGAAUUCCAGCCUGUCAUGCCUGAAGUUGACCUCACCCUUGACAAUCAAUAAUGACAUUAGUUCAUCCUUCAUUCUCCACACACUCUACUCCUUGCUCUUGACCAACUCCGGGUGGAAACAUGCAGAGACUCACUUCACAAUUCCCAUCUGACUUGUCUCCUGAGCUUCCAAAGGCUCCCUUUCAACCCCAAGGAAAAUUGCAUGGCCCACGGCUUCUGUGUUCCCAGCAACAUUUUUGCUCUUGUGUUUUGCCUAUCCUGGUGCUCCCACUGGAAUACCUGCCCUUCUCUUUGCUUAUCUCUGCUUUCCCAGGUGGACAGCCAACAAUUAUUAUAGGCUGAAGACUAUAAGCCUUUGUGAAGCUUGCCCCUUCUCCAAGGCCCAUCACCUAUUCCAGAACCUCUCCCACGACUAUGCCUCAGCCAGCUCCCCCUGCAAGGCCAGUGAAGUGUCAACUCUGUAUUACAGAUGAUUUGGAUCACAUAUGGCAUUUGCCCAGCAGGUUAGAACUUGGUCCUCUUCUACCUGUUUUUGCUGCUUCCAGUUCAUCUCAUGCAGGUGAGCUGUGCCAGUCAAGGGACGCUGAGCUCUAUGGGAGCAAUCACUCCACUUUGAGACCUCAGGGGCUUCACAUGGCACAAGCUGAUUUCUUGCUCAUGCUGUAUGUCCACCAUGGAUUGGUGGGAGGUCCUUCUCCUUGAGGACCUGGGCUGAUGGUGACCUGGCAUCUUGUAGCUUCACCAUCUGGAAUGGUGUUGUCCGAGAGAAUUUUCUGCCGUGAUGGAAUGUCUUAUAUGUGCUGUGCAAUGCAACCUCUACUAGCCACAUGUGGCUAUCAAGGACUUGAAACAUGCUAGUGUGACUGAGAAACAGAAUUUUGAAUUUCAUUGAAUUUUAACGAAUUUCAAUAGCCAUAUGCGGCUAUGGCUACCACACUUGGCAGUGCAGCUCCGUACCACGAAGUCUCUAUAUCCAUCUCCCAGGUGCCAGCAGAAGAGAGCACGUGGAGAAACUUGCCUACUUUUCUGUGCUCAGCCAAGAAGUCAUCACUGGUCAGACUGGACAGAGCAGGGACCCCACCUAACUGCCAGGAAGCUGGAGAGUGUGCGGGACCCACGAAUACUUAGAGAGCAAGAAAUAACUUCCCCACCGAGCUCUUCUCAAACCUUCCUGGGGCUAAGAGGCAUAGACUUGGAGCCACAGAUUCAGAAGGGCUGCGUGGAGAGAAAGAACAAGGAUGGACUGAGACGGAGUGGAGAGAUUGUACCUUUGAGAUGCCGAGAUGGGCCCAGAGAGGACGAAGAGUAUAAUCACCGGCCACACAGACUGGCUGAGCCUAGAGUCCUGAGGUCCUGGCUCAGAGAUGAGAGAAUGGGGAAGGCAGGAUACUCUAGCGUGCCUGAGGGAACAAGGGACACUGGCUGGACACAUCUAGCCUUUCAUUCUGGGUCCCUGGGAAGGGAAGAGCUUACUAGCUGCCAGAGGCCUGUUCUCAGAGCCCUUGGAAGGGAAGGGCCCCACAAGGCUUUCAGUUUUCAAAUGGCUUUGGCUCAUCGCCCCCCUGAGGGGAGGAUGUGUUUGGAAGCCGGUCUGCUGCAGAGCGUCUUCAACUUUGGAACCUCUCCACCUCCCCACGGCGUGUCCAGCAGGCUUGGGGCCACCGAGCAGAGUGAUUAGCUCCCCUUCUGUCAGAGGCCGGUGUACAUUCCAAAAGCUCCCUCUCUUUCCCUCUUUCUAAUGCUGUACAGAGGUAGACUCCUUACCACAGGGCAAGUUGGCCUGCCCUCUGCUGGUAUCUGUGGCAGAUGGUAUUUUCCAGAGAUUUCCAAAUACCUGAGAUCCAUGUGUUGUACCAUGCCACUCUCCCAUCGGCAGCUGGAGUCCACCUCCACUUCCCUUGUUUCUUGGUGGGCACCGAUUGCCUGAGCAACAGAGCACAGUGGAAGUGAUGCUGCAUAACUUCUGAGCCUAGGUCAUCUAGAAGGUGAUGCUGCCUUUGCCCCAUAAUGGUUGUGCUUAUAUAAGAAGUCCAGCUUCCUUGAGGUCACCAUGCUGUGAGGAACCCAAGGCACAUGGACAGGCCACAGGUAGCUCUUCUGGCCAUCCGUCUUGGCCCGGGUGCCAGAUGUGUGAAUCAGAAGUCUUCAGAUGCCUCCAGUCCCCAGCUCUCAAGCCACCUCCAGCCCCUAGGUCUUCCCAGCUGAAGCUCAGACAGCACAGAGCAGGGAUAAGCCAUCCCUACCAUGCCCUUUCCAAUUCCCAACCCACCAAUUCUGUGAGUGUAGCAGAGGGCUGUUUCAUGUGGUGACAGUUGUGGGAUUAUUUGCUCAGUGGCCAGAGUAACCAGAAGGAUGCUUUGAGGUCUCAGGCACCUAACUAUUCUCCUCCAUAGAACUCAUUGCAAUGGUAAUUAAUGAAUUAGCUAUUGAGGAAAUUCUUUCAUUAAAGACUGUCUUUCCCAUUCAACUCCAGUUUCCAGGAAAGCAAGGAAUACAGUCGGGGCAGUCACUAUAUUCCUAGGGAGUCAACCAGAGAGAUGUUCGGUGAAUAUUUAAUGAAUGACUGAUCCUAAAAAAAAAAAAAAAAAAAAAAAAAAAAAAAAAAAAAAAAAAAAAAAAGAAUGACUGAUCCUUACACUGUCCUCAGAUUGACCUCUAAACUUGACCUCAGAAUCAUU
rnacentral:lncRNA from 12 species